AACGAACGCUGGCGGCAUGCCUAACACAUGCAAGUCGAACGAGACCUUCGGGUCUAGUGGCGCACGGGUGCGUAACGCGUGGGAAUCUGCCCUUGGGUUCGGAAUAACAGUUAGAAAUGACUGCUAAUACCGGAUGAUGACGUAAGUCCAAAGAUUUAUCGCCCAAGGAUGAGCCCGCGUAGGAUUAGCUUGUUGGUGAGGUAAAAGCUCACCAAGGCGACGAUCCUUAGCUGGUCUGAGAGGAUGAUCAGCCACACUGGGACUGAGACACGGCCCAGGCUCCUACGGGAGGCAGCAGUGGGGAAUAUUGGACAAUGGGCGAAGGCCUGAUCCAGCAAUGCCGCGUGAGUGAUGAAGGCCUUAGGGUUGUAAAGCUCUUUUACCCGGGAUGAUAAUGACAGUACCGGGAGAAUAAGCCCCGGCUAACUCCGUGCCAGCCGCCGCCGUAACAC
rnacentral:rRNA from 1 species